ACGAAAGAGAGGAGAAGAUGUCAGCAAACCCUUGGAAGCUUUGUCUGCAGUCUGAAAGCCAAAGCUCUGCUUUUUCUGGUUUAUGCCUCAUCAGUCAUGAAGAUUUUGCAGUGAGAGCUGAGUUGAUGCCAAUGCUGAUGGGGAACCUGAGCAGGAGGUGCUACAAGACAAAAGGAUGCAAGAAUUCUGGCAAGAUCCACGAGAAAAAGGUAAUAACAUCUUUUCUGAACAGUAUGGGGCUUUAUGCACUUUUUUGGCCUUGACUGAGGACAACAGUGGAAACUCAAGAGUAGAU